UACGAAGGUGGCGAGCGUUGUUCGGAAUCACUGGGCAUAAAGCGCACGUAGGCGGUGUCAUAAGUCGGGUGUGAAAUCCCUCGGCCUAACCGAGGAACUGCGCCCGAUACUGUGAUGCUUGAGGACCAGAGGGGUGCAUGGAAUUUCCGGUGGAGCGGUGAAAUGCGUUGAUAUCGGAAGGAACUCCGGCGGCGAAAGCGAUGCACUGGCUGGUUUCUGACGCUGAGGUGCGAAAGCCAGGGGAGCAAACGGG
rnacentral:rRNA from 1 species